CCUACGGGUGGCAGCAGUGGGGGAUAUUGCACAAUGGUGGAAACCCUGAUGCAGCGACGCCGCGUGUGGGAAGACGGUCCUCUGGAUUGUAAACCACUGUCCCCAGGGACGAAGAUGACGGUACCGGGGGAGGAAGCGCCGGCCCACUACGUGCCAGCAGCCGCGGUAAGACGGAGGGAGCGAGCUUUGUCCGGAAUUCCUGGGUGUAAAGGGAGCGUAGGCGGGGAUGCAAGUUGGGUGGCAAACCUACCGGCUCAACUGGUAGUCGCACUCCAAACUGCCGCUCUUGAGUGAAGUAGAGGCAGGCGGCCUUCCUAGUGUAGCGGUGAACUGCGUAGAUAUU
rnacentral:rRNA from 1 species